rnacentral:rRNA from 1 species
GGGUGUGAUCAUACCAGCGUUAAUGCAUCGGAUCCCAUCAGAACUCCGCAGUUAAGCGUGCUUGGGAUAGAGUAGUACUAGGAUGGGUGACCUCUCAGGAAGUCCUAGUGUUGCACCCU